rnacentral:rRNA from 1 species
CUUGGUGACAAUAGCGUUUUGGACCCACCUGAUCCCAUUCCGAACUCAGUAGUGAAACGAAACAGCGCCGAUGGUAGUGUGGGGUUACCCAUGU